AGACGUCUACAUUAGAUACCCGUGUAGUCCCAGCCGUAAACUAUGCGCGUUAGGUGUAUCGGUGACCACGAGUUACCGAGGUGCCGAAGGGAAACCGUGAAACGUGCCGCCGUGGGAAGUACGGUCGCAAGGCUGAAACUUAAAGGAAUUGGCGGGGAGCACCACAACGGGUGGAGCCUGCGGUUUAAUUGGACUCAACGCCGGGAAGCUCACCGGAUAAGACAGCGGAAUGAUUGCCGGGCUGAAGACUCUGCAUGACUAGCUG
rnacentral:rRNA from 1 species